AUUGAACGCUGGCGGCAUGCCUUACUCAUGCAAGUCGAACGGCAGCACGGAGCUUGCUCUGGUGGCGAGUGGCGAACGGGUGAGUAAUAUAUCGGAACGUACCCUAUAGUGGGGGAUAACGUAGCGAAAGUUACGCUGAUACCGCAUACGAUCUAAGGAUGAAAGUGGGGGAUCGCAAGACCUCAUGCUCGUGGAGCGGCCGAUCUCUGAUUAGCUAGUUGGUAGGGUAAAAGCCUACCAAGGCAUCGAUCAGUAGCUGGUCUGAGAGGACGACCAGCCACACUGGAACUGAGACACGGUCCAGACUCCUACGGGAGGCAGCAGUGGGGAAUUUUGGACAAUGGGCGAAAGCCUGAUCCAGCAAUGCCGCGUGAGUGAAGAAGGCCUUCCGGUUGUAAAGCUCUUUUGUCAUGGAAGAAACGGUGGGAGCCAAUAUCUCUUGCUAGUGACGGUACCUGAAUAAUAAGCACCGGCUAACUACGUGCCUGCAGCCGCGGAAAUACGUAGUGGUGCAAGCGUUAAUCAGAAUUACUGGGCGUAAAGCGUGCGCAGGCGGUUUUGUAAGUCUGAUGUGAAAUCCCCGGGCUCAACCUGGGAAUUGCAUUGGAGACUGCAAGGCUAGAAUCUGGCAGAGGGGGGUAGAAUUCCACGUGUAGCAGUGAAAUGCGUAGAUAUGUGGAGGAACACCGAUGGCGAAGGCAGCCCCCUGGGUCAAGAUUGACGCUCAUGCACGAAAGCGUGGGGAGCAAACAGGAUUAGAUACCCUGGUAGUCCACGCCCUAAACGAUGUCUACUAGUUGUCGGGUCUUAAUUGACUUGGUAACGCAGCUAACGCGUGAAGUAGACCGCCUGGGGAGUACGGUCGCAAGAUUAAAACUCAAAGGAAUUGACGGGGACCCGCACAAGCGGUGGAUGAUGUGGAUUAAUUCGAUGCAACGCGAAAAACCUUACCUACCCUUGACAUGGCUGGAAUCCUUGAGAGAUCAGGGAGUGCUCGAAAGAGAACCAGUACACAGGUGCUGCAUGGCUGUCGUCAGCUCGUGUCGUGAGAUGUUGGGUUAAGUCCCGCAACGAGCGCAACCCUUGUCAUUAGUUGCUACGAAAGGGCACUCUAAUGAGACUGCCGGUGACAAACCGGAGGAAGGUGGGGAUGACGUCAAGUCCUCAUGGCCCUUAUGGGUAGGGCUUCACACGUCAUACAAUGGUACAUACAGAGCGCCGCCAACCCGCGAGGGGGAGCUAAUCGCAGAAAGUGUAUCGUAGUCCGGAUUGUAGUCUGCAACUCGACUGCAUGAAGUUGGAAUCGCUAGUAAUCGCGGAUCAGCAUGUCGCGGUGAAUACGUUCCCGGGUCU
rnacentral:rRNA from 1 species